rnacentral:rRNA from 1 species
GAUGAACGCUGGCGGCGUGCCUAAUACAUGCAAGUCGAGCGAACAGACGAGGAGCUUGCUCCUCUGACGUUAGCGGCGGACGGGUGAGUAACACGUGGAUAACCUACCUAUAAGACUGGGAUAACUUCGGGAAACCGGAGCUAAUACCGGAUAAUAUAUUGAACCGCAUGGUUCAAUAGUGAAAGACGGUUUUGCUGUCACUUAUAGAUGGAUCCGCGCCGCAUUAGCUAGUCGGUAAGGUAACGGCUUACCAAGGCAACGAUGCGUAGCCGACCUGAGAGGGUGAUCGGCCACACUGGAACUGAGACACGGUCCAGACUCCUACGGGAGGCAGCAGUAGGGAACCUUCCGCAAUGGGCGAAAGCCUGACGGAGCAACGCCGCGUGAGUGAUGAAGGUCUUCGGAUCGUAAAACUCUGUUAUUAGGGAAGAACAAAUGUGUAAGUAACUAUGCACGUCUUGACGGUACCUAAUCAGAAAGCCACGGCUAACUACGUG